GUCAGCUCGUGUCGUGAGAUGUUCGGUUAAGUCCGGCAACGAGCGCAACCCACAUCUUUAGUUGCCAGCAGUUCGGCUGGGCACUCUAAAGAAACUGCCCGUGAUAAGCGGGAGGAAGGUGUGGAUGACGUCAAGUCCUCAUGGCCCUUACGGGUUGGGCUACACACGUGCUACAAUGGCAGUGACAAUGGGUUAAUCCCAAAAAGCUGUCUCAGUUCGGAUUGGGGUCUGCAACUCGACCCCAUGAAGUCGGAAUCGCUAGUAA
rnacentral:rRNA from 1 species